UACGGGGGGGGCAAGCGUUUGUUCGGAAUUACUGGGCGUAAAGGGCUCGUAGGCGGCCAACUAAGUCGGAUGUGAAAUCCCCAAGCUUAACUUGGGAACUGCAUCCGAUACUGGAUGGCUUGAAUCCGGGAGAGGGAUGCAGAAUUCCAGGUGUAGCGGUGAAAUGCGUAGAUAUCUGGAGGAAUACCGGUGGCGAAGGCGGCAUCCUGGACCGGCAUUGACGCUGAGGAGCGAAAGCUAGGGGAGCAAACGGGG
rnacentral:rRNA from 1 species